CGAAGCGGUUUGACCAUCAACAUAAUAACGACAAAAUAGUUUUAAAAGACUGGGCAACAAGAUGUCGAUGCUUUGUCCAAAUGUGAAUGGACUUUCCAUUUGAAUACGGUUAAUGGCGGCAACGAGAGAGAAAAAACCUACCGUCACCACCGCCGGAAGCUCCAGCACCAUCACUAAUGGAGGCGCAUUUACCACAAUCCAAGAGAUAGUAACAUUCGAGAAGGAAAUAGAAAAGACCAAAUUCAUAGUCAUUGCUGGCCCCAUCUCCGACUAACCAUCUGCUCAGUCUUUCCUCAGUCAGGUCAAGGAUCCCCGUACCACUCACAAUUGCUGGGCUUAUAAGGUUGGGGAUCAGUACCGGUCGAGUGAUGACGGUGAACCUUCUGGAACGGCGGGGAAGCCGAUUCAUUCUUCGGUUCCUUUUUGGGGUUUGGAUAAAGUCAUUGUGGUCGUCAUCAGGUAAAAUUAAUUACUUUUGGGGGAAUUAAAUUGGGAACGGUAGGACUUGUUAGGGCUUACGGUAGAGUGACAUCGGAAUGCUUGAGAAAUGCUCCGAUUUGUCUUGUCAAAUCUAAAGCAAGAAAACAAUUGAAGAUUUUACGAUUUCAAUACAUUGAAAUUCUAAUAUUUGAUUGGAAUUUCCGAAAGGUUCCAAUGGGUGUGGAUGUUCCUUUCGAUCUCUCGCGAGUUCUAUACCGUCAAGUGAGCAUUGUUUUGCAUUAGAAUUAUGCCUCGUUUUCCAAGUAAAUUAAUAUUUUAGGGUUAAUCGUUAGCUUCUGUUAGUCGUAUGCAUAAUUAUUUCAACCAAAACAAUUGUACCAGAGGACAUUAAACAGGAUUAUGAUACCGGCGAAGAUGGGAUCGCCAUGGUUUCAUUCAAAGUUGAUUUUGAUCGGCUUGUGAAAUUAGAAGAGACUAUCAAAACCAAUUGUAGCAGAGAACUUGUGUUUUAUAAGCGGUGAAACCGACUUUGCAAUUUUCUCAGCUUUCCAGGAACAGGCAGGAUCGGUACGUGAUCUAAAUCUAGGCUUGGCAUGUACCUGUAUUUUAUCAUAUCAUAACUAUUGUGUUUAAAAUUUAAGAUGUCGACUUGUAAGUGUUUUGAAACAUUCGAAUGUGUCGUGCUUGUAGAUCAUAUUACGAAAAUAAAUUAAUUAAAUUUGAGAAUUGAGGCAGUCGUGUUUCGAACUGUUGUUCUAGGUCAUAGAACUACAUCUAUGAAAUUGAAUACACAAAGCACACUAUUCACCAUUAUUUGUUCUUUAAAUAUACUCAUAAAACCAACCUUUUCGAUAGCCUUAUAGCUGCUAGAAAUUACUACCAUUUCACACACAACAGAAUAAUCAGAUGUUGAAACGAGGGUUCCAAUUCUUCUUAGGUAUAUCUAUGGCCAUUUUCAAUGCUCUCUUGAGCAUCCCCAUCCGUUCAUUUCCACUAAACCCUUUAAUCCACAACACACUUUUAUUCCUUCCUCCUAUAAACACCAUCUCAGCCCUCACAACCGUCCCACUCACCUUCCUAAUUUCUCGUGUGAGAUCAGCUAUCAGUUCUGGCCUGUCAUCGCAGCUGAAUGUAGCCUUUACCAAAUUCCCAUCCUUUUCAGAAAAACCAAAACUUAAGCUGUUCAACUCACCAGGGAGCACACAUUCCAAGCUUCCGUCAGAAGCUCCUUUCAUUUCUUUUACUCUGUUUUUCAGCUCCCUUACCUGCCUCACUGUCUCACCCAACACAGAUGCCUUGUCCAUCUGUUGCACGAAAUGAAUAGAUUGACUUGAGUACCCUUUCAUUUUUAUAAAGGAGACUGUUGCUUAGGGUUAUGUUACUGAACUCUUCAUUUUUCUUAAAGUACCUGUAUUUGAAAUUUGCAUCUGAUACAUGGAAAGAUUGGGGGUAUGAUCCUCUAAUAUAUUGAAAAAGUGAGCGAAACAAAUUAAGCAUACUAGUGUAGGAUAAAUAUCUAUGGCUGACACUCGCACCAAAUCUGGGAACAUAAGACUAGAGGAAUAGAAGGGUCCGCAGAUGCUGAAAUUCAAACCUCAAUCACCUCUUAAAGAUGGUUUCAUGAACUAACAGGCCUAAACCCAAACCCAAACCCAAUACCCAUGUUUUAUGGAAGCUGUUAUUAAUAAGUAAAAUUCCACAAAAUUUCUGCAAAAAGUUAAUAUAUCAUAUCUACAGUUCAAUGUAAUGGUAAUUAAAUUUAUGUAAUCUCUUCGUCACUUACUUUGAUCAAGUUCGGUAGGAUGGUUCGGAGCAUGUCAAACUGUCGGCUGAUCCGCUUUCUUCGAUGCCUCUCAGCAGUUUUAUGUUUCAGGGCAUUGGCUAUGUUGGCCUCAGCCUUAGGUACAAACCAGAAGAUACAAACAAAUGAUUAUAAGAAGAUUGCUCGACUAAGAAAUGAGAAAAUGGGAAAAACAGUAAACCGUUACCUGUUUAAGACGAACCAUGGGGGAGCUCAGAUUUUCCUCCAGUAGAACUUGUUCAGUAGAAAGAAAGAUUGUAGAUCGGAAGAGAGAUUUUGAUCCAAGAUUGAACAAGGUAUUUCCCUUUUACUGCUUAUUAGCGAGAUGGCAUAUGCACGCAAUAAAUAGAAUAAGAGAUAUCGAAGCUAAUAAAUGAGAGUUAAUGUAUCAAGCAUGGGCUGAUUUUAUGAAAUAUUUGAUAUAAUCUAGACAUUUAACUCUUUAAGAUAUUGGUAUCUAAGAGUUGUUGAUUAUGA